rnacentral:rRNA from 1 species
GAAAGUAGGAAAGGGCGCAUGGCGGAUGCCUUGGCUCACGGAGGCGAUGAAGGACGCGAUAAGCUGCGAAAAUCCGCGGUGAGGUGCAAAUGACCUUUGACCCGCGGGUAUCCGAAUGGGACAACCCGGCCGCCUGAAGGGCGGUCAUCCCCCGCUUAUUGCGGCGGGAGGCGAACGGAGGGAACUGAAACAUCUUAGUACCUCCAGGAGAAGAAAACAACAGUGAUUCCCCCAGUAGUGGCGAGCGAACGGGGACCAGCCCAAACCGGCCGGGUGCCAUCUGGCGCCCCGCCGGGGUUGUAGGACCGCGGUCAUGCGAUCGAGUAUCGAGGGGAAGCGUCUGGAAAGUCGCGCCGCAGAGGAUGACGGCUCCGUACCCGAAGAGACGAGAUGGCAUGCGGUAUCCUGAGUAGCGCGGGGCACGAGAAACCCUGUGUGAAUCCGCCGGGACCAUCCGGCAAGGCUGAAUACUCCCGUGAGACCGAUAGUGCACGAGUACCGUGAGGGAAAGGUGAAAAGCACCCCGACGAGGGGAGUGAAAUAGUUCCUGAAACCAUGCGCCUACAAGCGGUCGGAGCUGCAUUUUGCAGUGACGGCGUGCCUUUUGCAUAAUGAACCUACGAGUUGCCGUCGCCGGCGAGGUUAAGCAUCACGAGAUGCGCAGCCGCAGUGAAAGCGAGCCUGAAGAGGGCGUCGAGUCGGCGGUGGCAGACGCGAAACCGAGUGAUCUACACAUGGCCAGGGUGAAGUCCCGGUAACGCGGGAUGGAGGCCCGCACCAAUAAGCGUUGAAAAGCUUCUGGAUGAGCUGUGUGUAGGAGUGAAAGGCCAAUCAAACUCGGAGAUAGCUCGUACUCCCCGAAAGGCAUUUAGGUGCCGCGUGCGGUGUUCAGCGCGAGAGGUAGAGCGACCGAUAGGAUGCGAGGGCUUCACCGCCUGUCAAGUCCUGACGAACUCCGAAUGCUCGCGCUCCGCAGCCGCGCAGUAAGGGGGCGGGUGCUAAGGUCCGUCCCCGAGAGGAGAAGAAUCCAGACCGCCGUCCAAGGUCCCGGAGUUCUGCCUGAGUUAGUCUAACGAAGUCCGGUCCCCGUGACAGCUAGGAUGUUGGCUUGGAAGCAGCCAUUCAUUCAAAGAGUGCGUAACAGCUCACUAGUCGAGGGUCCGGGCGUGGAUAAUAAUCGGGUAUAAGGCAGACACCGAAGGCGCGGGAUAUGCCGCCGUCAGGCGGAGUAUCGGUAGGGGAGCAUUCCAUGUGCGUUGAAUGCGGGGGGCGACCCCCGCUGGAGCGCAUGGAAAGGCAAAUGUAGGUAUGAGUAACGACAAGGGCGGCGAGAACCCGCCCCGCCGCAAGACCAAGGUUUCCCGGGCAAUGCCAGUCAUCCCGGGGUCAGCCGGGGCCUAAGGCUAAGCCGAACGGCGAUGCCGAUGGACUCACGGUCAACAUUCCGUGGCUCCCUCAUGGAGCGACGCGGUGACGGAGCAGUGACACCUCCGCGCGCUGACGGAAUAGCGCGUUGAAGGCUGUAGGCUAUGAGGGGCGUAGUGAAGCACGCGCCCCGAGCUGAGCGCCGACAGUACGGCCUGCCCCCCGGGGCGGGCUGACAGCGAGGGUAAGCAUACUCCCCAGAAAACCCGCUAAGCUUAAUCCAUGUGGGACCCGUACCGCAAACCGACACAGGUGGUCGCGUAGAGCAUACUGAGGCGUUGAGAGACUCAUGGUCAAGGAACUAGGCAAACUGACCCCGUAACCUCGGGAUAAGGGGUCCUCGCCGUCAGGCGAGGCGCAGAGAAUAGGUCCAGGCAACUGUUUAACAAAAACACAGGGCUGUGCGAACUCGAGAGAUGAAGUAUACAGCCUGACACCUGCCCGGUGCCGGAAGGUUAAGAGGAGGCGUCAGCCUAAUGGUGAAGCGCUGAGUUGAAGCCCCGGUAAACGGCGGCCGUAACUAUAACGGUCCUAAGGUAGCGAAAUUCCUUGUCGGGUAAGUUCCGACCUGCACGAAU